rnacentral:misc_RNA from 1 species
UUCACAGAGAGAACAAAAAGCCUUUCCAUUUUGUGAUUUUCACACAGCUACAAAUAGUCUCAGCCACGCAUUAAUGCCUUCCGGCACAAAGUUAGCUCAAAAGGAAAUGUGAGCUCAAAAGUAACUAACCAAUUAAAUCUUAAAAUUGAAGACCAUGCUCCCGAGCUGCAUCAGCAAGAGCUUGUAUACGACCAUGAUAUAGGUAUCCACCCCGAUCAAAGGCCACUUUAGUUAUCCCUUUCUCUAAACAGGACUUUGCUAUGACUUCACCCACCUUCUUAGCUACUUCAAUGGUAGGACCAGAACUAAAGUCAAACUCCUCAAAGACAGGUUUCUUUGUUGAAGCUGAAGCCAGCGUGUGCAUCUUUGAGUCAUCAAUCACCUGGACAUAAAGAUGCUUGUUGGAUCGGAAUACGCACAACCUUGGCCUCUCUGGAGUUCC